rnacentral:lncRNA from 1 species
GGGUUUGGGCUUGGGCUCAGGUUUUGGCAUCGGCUUCGGCAUUGGUUUGGGCAUAGGUUUGGGAUCCGAUUUUGGGUGCGGCGUAGGUUCUGGUUUCGGCAUAGGUUUGGGCAUUUGCUCUGGUUUGGGUUUCGGCUCCAGGUCCGCAAACUUCUCGACGGCGGCUAGGCCCCGGCCAGCGGCGGCCGAUUGGUGGAAAGUGGAGGCUGCCACUACGCCGACGAGGAGCAUGAGCACGGCAUGGAGGCUAUGCCUCGCCAUUGCUGCCUGCUCCUUGUGCUCGCAGCUAGGGGUGCACUUGUUUCGCCGCUGCUGCUAGCCUGCGUGGAUGGAUGGAUGGAUGGAUGGGAUGGGUGUGCUCUGUGUGGAGAAGUGGAAGGUACACACGGUGUGGCUUUAUAGGGUGGAGGAGCCAAGCACACCCGGACGCGUGUGCCACAAUCCCUGUAAACCAGUGCCGUCGGUGGGAGCAUGGAUCGGCACAUCAACAUGUCUAACAGUAUUUCAACUCUGUUAGUUGCACCCGGCAGGCAAUCAGAAGCUUUUGUUAGUUGCCGUGUCCCUUGCUCACACCACACAUCCGUCUAUGUAAGGGCACCCAGGCCAUACCUAAGCUGUAUAGAUGUGAUAUGUAUUGUUGUGGCGUGCUGAGCAUGCAGUUGCCGGUAGGUACAGACCGACAUGCAUACAAACAUAUACUUCCUUCGUUUUUAAAUAUAAGUUUUUUUAGAGGUUUCAUUAAAAAACUACAUACGGAUGCACUGACGAAUCUUGAAAGAAAAUGAAGGAGGGGCUCAAUGUUAAAUGUACGUAGAAAAAUGCACUAACUUUUAGUUUUUAGUUCAAACAUUAUUAUUAUUUUUAUGAUGAAUACUACUAAAUAUUACUCCCUCCGUAAACUAAUAUAAGAGCAUUUAGAUCACUAUUUUAGUUAUCUAAACAUUCUUAUAUUAGUUUACAGAGGGAGUAUUUUUCAAUUUUUGGAGGGGGGCUCAAGCAUGUUGAAGCACCCCCUUGGAUUCGCCACUGUAUGAAUGUAUAUGUAUAGAUUCACUCAUUUUAUGUUGUACGUAAUGAAAUAUCUAAAAAGACUCAUAUUUAGAAACGGAGCGAGUAGUACAUAUGAUAAAGACAGUAGUGGAGUAACGUAAAUAGGGAGGGCCAGCUCUAGCUACGGGUAUCCUCUUGUCACAAGGACUAGUGUGGUGCACACGAUAAUGACUCCCCAUCCGUUUGCCAUAGCAUGCGUGCACCAUGGACUUUUCCACCCAUCACUCCCUCGCCAAUUAUUUUGAUUGUAUCAGUAGGGAAAUAGAUCCCAGCCCCGCGUAUGUUCUCAGUCGAUUAGCGUGGUUGGAGUGCCGUACGUACACCCUGCGGCUCACCCUUUCCUUUUUCUUUUACGUGUCAACCUGACACGUCUCUUUUACUAAUUUCUACGUACCUCGUCGACCCAACCAACAGAUCUAGUAAAUUUAAGCUAAGUGCAACAGCACUGCCUUCUUUCUUGCUGUUUUAAAGGUGGUGAAAACGCUGGCCACUGCGUUGACACACCCAUCUGUCGCGCGGUCUUCAUUCAUUAAGAGAGGAAAAACCCCAAUACAUCAUAAGAGCUGUAACAUCAUAAACAGAGAGUUUUUUACUAUACAAAUAUAGAAGAAAAAAAAGAGAACCGUUCCCCUUCUUCUCGAUCGCUACGAUUGAUUGAUGGUUGGUUGUCGCUUUGGAAAGAAGGGAACAACAAAAUUUCCAGUGUCAAGGUAUCUUGUGGAUAUUUUUAUCUUUUUUUUAGGGAAUGUGGACAUUUUUGGAUUUCAAAGGAAAUAGUGAAGCCUUUGAUCAUUUGACGGGGAGCUCCUAUCGGGCUCUUCAGGCGUCGGCAAAUACUACAGCCCGGCCCAUUAGCGUGCUCACUCCCCUCGGCCACUUCUCUCACUCACCUGCUGGCCAGCUAAAAUAAAAAACCAAAAAAGCAAUAGGUACUUGUUUAGUAAUCAAACCAACUUCAUAUUUUCUUAUAGAUUAAAAAACGCAUGCAUUCAAAUAAAGUUCAUUUAAGAGAGCAAGGCCCAUGCCUGGUGUCUGAGUACACUUCAUGCAUCUACAACACCAGACACAUACGAGCAAAUAACCCAAGACCACAUAAUACAAUAGAAAAAAUAAGAGGUAUAUACAUCAGUGGUGAUUGAACUUGCCACAGAUGUUCACUUUAAUACCUGAACUUGAAAAAUACGUCGAACUGGUUCUACAACUUGGCAUAGACGUGCAGAUACGGUGAUAAUCCAUUCAUAUACGUAAAGUGCGGCGACGUGGCACCGUAUAUAGGUUACAUGGCAUGAGGCCCAUUUAUACAUUCGAAACAUGAUUACUAGAUAAUAUAUGUCUAUGACUAAUGGGUCCCGCUUGUCAGGAAAAUUUAAAUGAAAAACAGCGACAAAACGUACUUGAACCAUCAAACCUCAAGCUAACGCGCAGCCGGUGCUUGCCACCAUGCAAACUACUUCCUCCGUCUCAGUUUACAAGUCCGCCACAUGUACUUAGGUCGUCAAUUUGACCAACUUAAUAAAAAGCAUAUAUAACAAAAAAUAUAUCAUUAAAACUUUAAAUAUUCUAUUUUUUAAUGAUACAAUUUUUAAGUUAAACAAUAUAUUUUAUAUAAGUCAAAUUGACGAUCUAGAUACACGUGCAUGCCUUCUAAACUGUGACGGAGGGAGUAGUAGAUCUUAUUGUCAGCAGUCGCUCCUUAAGCUUAAGAUAAAUGGAAACGGCUGGGGUCUUUAAAUGGAUUAUGAUCUUUGACUGUAUAUUUUAAAUGUUUGUAUCAAGUAACAUUUUUAAGCACUCAUGGAUUAUUUUUAAAAUAGUAUUUUAUGAAUAAUAGGUGAAUAUUUCAAAACAAUCACAUACACAUUUUUAGUAAAAUAUUUUACUGCAAACCACUAUAUUUAUUUUAUGUGCAUACGAAUAUUUGUGUACCAUGAGGUUAUUAUUAUGUACCACAAUAUUCAUAACCGACGUCCUGGUAUGGAGCCUUGUUUGUGUCUUUUUUAAGUAAUAGUAUAUGUACACACGGAUGUUUGUUGACUAUGAGGUAAUUAUUAAUAGCACAUGAAUAUUCAAACCUAACUUUUGUUAUUAUGAUUAUUAUUUACAUUUUUAUGGGUAAAACUAACUUUUGACCAUCAAAGUCCAUAGUUUGUGGGGUACAAACAGGGUCAUGGGGUUGAACAUAUUUCUUAUUUUCAAAACGAAUUAAGUUCAGCCCAUUUAAGUACCACAACUGUUUUCAUAUAGGCUUCAUUAAGCGUUGAGAGUUUUAUUUGGCAAAAAUACCAAGUUGGCGUGAUGGCCAGCAUAGGCUGCUAUUUAGCUUUAUUUUAGUCCUUUCUACACUGUUUUUCAUUUUAAUUCACGUGACAGGUGGGCCCGCUAGUCAUACAUACAUAUAAGUAUUCAAAUAUCAUGUUUUGUUGUUACAAGUGGACCCAUGCCUGCCACGUCAGCCAUCACUAGUAGGAAAAAUCUUAUAGGUAGGAGCCUAGUAGUAGCGCUGAAAAAUAGCAGGCGAUGCUGCUACUUAGCAGUAGCGCUGGAAAUACCACGCGCUACUGCUAACUACCUAGUAGUAGCGCUGGCUGCAGUUCCAGCGCUACUGCUAAACAGGGCCCAAUUAGGCCACCCGCAGUAUUUGUAGUAGUAGCGCUUGACUGUAAAAAGCGCUACUAUUACGUUCCAUAGCAGUAGCGCUUCCUUGGAAGCAACGCUACUGCUAAAUGGGGCCCAACGAGGUCACCAAUGUUGCACAUUAUAUAUCGUUGAAUUAAUCAACUUUCGAUGCAGGUACAUAGAUCGGAGAUGGCAAAGGGUUGCUACGUCGUAUUCAUUGGAAGGGUUCCAGGAGUGUACGACCACUGGCCAGAGCCCACGUGGACAGGUACCCGGGAGCUAGCCACAGAGGGUUCGAGAGCAGAGCCGAAGCGGAAAUGUGUUACUUGAGGUGGAUAAUGCUACGACAAGAGUCAGAGCGAAACCGGUGCCUCAAGAAGUACUACAUAGUCACGCUCUUGCUCAUGCUGACCGCUCUUNNNNNNNNNNNNNNNNNNNNNNNNCCGCUCUUCUCUUAUACGUGAUGGUUUAGAUAGGGACGAUGAAACUCGUGUGUGUGCCAUGACUCGUGUGUAUCGCUAUUUUCGAGAUUUGAUGAUAUUUGUGUUGGAUAAUGAUGAUGAUGAUGAUGAUGAUGGUAUAAAUGAAGAGACUACUUUAUGUGUAUGAUGUGAUGCAAAUUAUGCAUGUUUAUUAUGAUAUGAUGAAACCACUGUAUAGAACAUGCACAAAUACAUAGGGAAGACAUAAAUACAACGCGAAUUAAAUAUUAAAAACAUGAAUAUUAUCAAUAGCGCUGGAAUAUAAGCAGUAACGUUGUAUUAGCAGUAGCGCUUUAUUUAUACACACGCUACUGCUAUUGUGUAUACCAGUAGCGCUUCUAGUUUCAACGCUACUGCUAACAGAUUAGCUGUAGCGCGAUCGCAGUAGCGCUGGUGCCGGCGCUACUAGUAAGGAUAUAAUUAACGCUACCGGUAGCCAUUCUCCUACUAGUGCAUAUCCGGUGCCAUGUCGGCACACUUGACGUAUAUGGAUGGCAUUAGCAUCGUAUUUGUAUGUCUGUGCCAAGUUUUAGAACUAGUUUGACGUAUUUUUCAAGUUCAGGUACUAAACUAAACAUCUGUGGCAAGUUCAAACACCACUGGUGUAUUUACCUCAAAAAAUAACAAAGAUUGCAUCACAUAGAAAAAAACAACAUAGACUGCAGCCGACUGGACAAAAUCGCUCAUUCAUGCAAAUGAAUACAAUCAUGCAUUAAUACUCAAAAGAACAACGGGCCACAUACAAAGUAGAUGAACAUAUAGCAACAAGAAAAUAGUAAUCACAGAGUACUAAUUCUCAUCACACGUGUAUGGAACAAUAGAAAGAAAUUGAAUACAGGGAAUACUACACCACUUAUUCUAAUAAUAGCACACUGUGGCUCCGUAUUGGGUCUCCUCCGUCAAGUGUCGUAUAUAAGUAUCCCAUCAAUUAUGUGUUGCCGGUGGUUUGCACUUCGGAGGCGGCUUCGGUUUCGGUUCAGGUUUAGGCUUGGGCUCCGGCUUUGGUUCGGGUUUCGGCAUCGGCUCGGGCUUAGGACCUGGCUUUGGUUUGGAGCAGGGCUCGGGCUUUGGUUUUGGCAUUGGCUUGGGCUUGGGUUCUGGUUCGGGCUUCUCUCCGGGCUUUUGUUUAGGCUUUGGUUUGGGUUUUGGCAUCGGUUCAGGUUUGCAGGGCUCUGGCUCUGGUUGUGGCGCAGGUUUGGACAUUGGCUCUGGUUGUGGCGCAGGUUUGGACAUUGGCUCUGCUUUGGGUUCUGGCUUUGGCUCUAGCUCUGCAAAAUUCUCGACAGCAGCAAGGCCUCGGCCAGCCGCAACAACUUGGUUGAGAGUGGAGGCUGCAACUACCCCGAUGAGGAGCACGGCGAGGAGGCGAUGCCUCGCCAUUGCUGCCUACUUCUUGUGCUUGCAAGUUGUGUUGCACCUGUUGUGGUUUGUGUGUGUUUGUGUAUGUUGUGUGGAGAAUGGAGAUACAUAUGGUGUGGUUUUAUAGGCAGGGUGAAACAAAGCAGAUCUAGAUGCUGCAUUAAUUAACAUUGCAGCUAGCUAGCUGGAGUGACAAGUAGUACUGCGUAACAUGGCAAUGGAGCUAUAUUGGUCGAUUAGUUGAUUACAAAUGAAGCAACCAACGUAGCUAGAGGUGUUAAUAAGCACAGCUGGAUUUUGCGUGUGUGUCUCUAUGUGAUGAUAGUGGGGUGAGUAACAAUAUUUUUACUCUAUUGGUUGGCCUCCUGGUAGUAAUAGAAUCAUGUUAGUUGCCUUGUCAGUCCUGUUCACACGUCCAUGUGACCGGCCAUCAUUUAGAAAUCAAGAUCGAUGCUGUACACGUUAGUGCCAUUACAAAGUAGAAAAAGAAAAAGAAAAAAGCAACCGCUUCAGUUCAAUUCACAAUUCCAAGUUUUUGCGCACUCGUGUUUUCUCAAGCACUCUAUCUAGCCCGGUAUAGUUGGGCAGUUUCAGAAUUGUAGAUACCAAUGAGGAUUUUAUCAUGCUUAUUGUCUCAAAUUAUUAAAUCUUAUAACUCUCUGAUAAGCUAGGUUAUUUUGACGUUGCAUGCCCCUCAUUCUCCAGUCUCAUGCAUGCGUGUGCUUUAGACUUUAGUUAUGCAUGUAUGAUUUUCCAAAAAGGGUUUCAUGGAGACGGAGCUCCAAAACGAACUGGGUUGGUGAGUUUAGCACCGCCAUAUAUUCUGAUAGAGUAAGGAUUAUAUUGUGGUAAUGUUCUUUCCCUCCGUUUGUCAUAUUUUGAAUCAAGAGGGUUUCAUUGUAAUUCUUAGUUAUAGGAGUUAUUUUAUAAUUUCUUGUAUCUAUGAUCGAAGCAUUGUAUCUAUGAUUUUGUUGAGUUUGAAUAAAGUCACAUGCCCUUCUGAGCCACGCGGAAUACCGCACCACCAAUCGCGCUCACGCUUGAGACCGCCGUCGCCGGUGGCUGAUCUCCCUCCUCUGGUCGCCUCCGGCCCAGCCAAGUACAGAUCCGGGACCCUCCCGACGUCCUCUCUCCAGCCAUCCCGAAGUUUGGCACCGUCUUCACCGGUUCUCUCCCCGCUGAGCGGCUCGAGUUGGGCCCUCCACCUCUCCCGGUCCCGGUCACGUGCGGCUGCGCGGCCGCAUCGGGGCGCCCCUGUGGGCCCGAGCAAGCCCCCUGCGCCUUUCUAUUCUCUCGCCUCCGCCGAAGCCGUCGCGGGGCAAAAUCCUGGCAGCAGGACCCCUCGGUCAUCGUUCUCGAGCGUGGGGGCGGCGCUACUCCAGGCGGUGAUGCUCCGGUGUCAGGGGAUCCUUCCUUGGCUUGUGGAGCUGCGGUGGCGGCGGUGAGCCACAAUUUUGGAUGGCGGCGCGGCGCCGUCGUUUAGGCCGGUGUCUCCGGUGGUCGUGGAGGUGCUGGUCGUCCGGUUAGAGGUGACGAGGUCAUGGCUGAUGCUGGAGGAUGUGGCUGGAGCUGAUGCGGGGUGUGCCGUUGCUACUACGGGGCGGAUCUAGCAGGCUUGCCGUGGUGGGCGCCAGAUCCGACCGGUUUGGCUGGCUCCGGCUCGCCGGCUUUUGCAGGCGGUGAGGUUGAUGGCUCCUGCGUGAGGGUGGCGUCGUCGUCGCGUAGGAGGUGUGUGGUACAGCGGGCUUGCAGACCAGUGGUGAUGCGCCACCGGUUGCAUGUGUGGGGGGGGGGGCUCAGCGAGGUGGCUCCAGGCGAAAUCCUAGACGGCACGACGUCCGUGAACGUCGUUUUUCCUCCUUGGGGGUCGUUGUGGAGCCCUUCCUUGCCCAACACCUUCGAACCAUGGACGCCCCCCCUUGGGGGCGUUGCCUUGAGGGUCACUGGUCUCUUCCGUGCUUUCCGGAGCUGGACACACACGACAUCGGGGUCGGCAGGUACCCGUCUGGCGAUGUGGUUGGCGCGACUUCUUGUGUGGUGACGAUGGCGGCUUCAAGCGAAGUUGGUUUGCUGUUGAGUUUUGGUAGUCGGUCUCAUCCCGCGUGUUCGAGGGGUUGCCGCGCCUCACUUUGUCUUCCUGGAGUCGGAGCUGCUGAGGCGGGGCCUUGCGACGACGAUGACGCGAGGCGGGUGGUCGAUUGUGGCGCUGGCUCGGCUCAGGCUCAGUUGUUUUCUCCUACAAUGCUCGUCGACAGAGUUGGAACUGCUUGGUAGUUGGCGUGUGCGGUUGACUGUUUGGCAGUGGCCGGCAUGGGCCUCGGUGUUUGCUUGUGGUGAGGGCUGUUUUGAUGGUCAUCGAUGAUGUAGUCGGAGUCGCCCUUGUGUAGGUGUGAUGAUGAUGACACCGGGUUGCAGCCUCGACGGUGUUCUCUCUUCGGCGACGUGUGUGCGUUCUUAUGUGGGUUGUCACGUCGCCAUGCGUAUCCUGUAUGGACGUGGUGUAGCAGGUUUCACUCGGUUUUUCGUUAAUUAACCCAGCAAUUCUCUUUUUCUUAAUUAAUGGGAUGAGACAAUGCUUUUGCCUGCGUUUAAAAAAACACUAGCUAGCCGACAGUUUGUUCAAUGCGUGCUGUCAUUUUGCACAAAUGCCUAUGUCUCUACCUACUGUGAGGCGCUCACUUGUUGGGAUGUGGUGCGGGCUGUGGUCCGGUUGCGGUGGAGGAGUAACAUUAGUUUGUUUCGUGCAAUUUUCAAAACAUUUCGUCGGAGUUUUUUUCCUGUUUUCUUUAUUGGGUUUCUUUUUUUUCAUUUUCCCUUUUACUUUUUCUGUUCAUUUAUUUCAUGUAUUGUUUUGUAUUUUAUUUUUCCAUAUUUCAAAUACAGCUUGAUUUUUUUUUCAAAAUAGUAAACAUUUUAAAGUAACCAUAGAAUAUUUUCUAAUACAUGUUUGAACGUUUUAUAAGUACAUGGUGAACAAUUUUUAUAUACAAUGAAUAUUUCUCUAAAAACUGCAAGAACACAUUCUGUUUAUUUAAUGAACAUUUUUAUAUUGCCAUGACCAAUUUUAUAAACAUGCGAAAAAAAUUAAAAUGUAGUGUUUUUUUGGAACAAUGCGAAUAUGAAUUUUAAAACUCUGGAAUAAUUUUUAAGACAAGUUGACAUUUUUUAUUUUUUUACGAGAAAACUUCGGAUGUAUUUAUCCAUUGUCAUGUUAGUAUAAGAAUACCAGAACUAACAUAACUUACAUUCAGAUCCAUAGACCAUCUAACGAUGUCUACAAUCACUUGAUCAAGCCGAAAGUGCACCAUGAUCCUCACUCCUCCCUCAUCGGAGUCGGACAAUGUCCAGUCAUGUUUUUUUUACAAACUGUUAAUCAUGUAUGAAUUUUUCUAUUGUGUAUUUCAAAAUUAUCAUGGAUUUUUAAAAAAUAUUGUGCAUUUUUAGAAAAACUGUUAUUUCAAAGGUUCAUCAUGUAUGAAAAGAAAUCUUCAUCAUAAAUUGUUCAAAUUGUCCACAGUGUAUAAAUUCAGAAAAAUAUGAAGACUUUUUAAUUCUAUGUGUAUUUGAAAAAUGUUUAAUAUUUUGAAACGUUUUAUAAAUACACGAUGAAUAUUUUUAAGUAUAUUAACAGCUAUUAUACUGCAUGAUCACCUAUCAAUAGUACAAACCCAUAUAUUUUAUACGCGAUGAAAAAAUCUGUUAAUAAUAAUUUUCAUGGUGCCUUUUCUUGGAAAUCUUGACCUAGGGUGUAGUUACCUUUCACACAUAUCCGAUAUAUAUUUAAGUAAGUCAUCCCAUUUAAAUGCACAUGCAUGUCAAUCACAUUAUGAAGGGUAUGCAACCAAUAAACUUCCACUUACCACUUUUCAUCACAUGCAGGUCCUCGAUAUCAUCAAGCGUGCAUGUAAUCAUUCGACGUUUCACUUCUCAUCAUAUGCAAGUUCCACAUCAUCAAACACAUGAAAGCUCUUCACCUCAUUAUUUUUUACUAUUUAUUUUUUAGCAACAAAUAAUUGAACUUGAAGGUCACAAGAAAAUAUAUUAUGCGUGCACCCUCUAGUUACAUCUAGGUUUUCUAUUGCCAUAUGCUGAGAAUGUUGUGUGGUAUUAUUCCUACAUAUGCUAUUUUUCAUAAUUUCAUUGCUAUAAAUUUUCGUGACAAUGUGUGUGACGUUUACCUAGUAGUAGCAGAGCCAGCUUACUCACACAGCCUGGGCAUAAAUAUAACAGCGUGCCUAGAACUUAUCUAGACCAGAUAUAAUUUAGUCGCAUUCAUCUAGAAAAUCAAAACAGAUACAAAGUAGUACUACAACUCACGUCGGCACACGCACAUCUUAUAGUCACAUCCAAUGACUAUAAAAGAUGAACGAGACAUAACUAAAAUUCAGUUAGAUGAGUUUUAGCAAAACCGUAAAUAUAACGCACUCGGUCGGGACUUACUUCGUAGGUGAAGGGUAGAGAAGAAGGCCACUGUCUUGCGUGUGAGUGCACUUUAUACAUCUAGAACACCAGACACGUAUACAUAUGUGAUAUGUCUGCUGCUAGGAAGUCAUUCUCUUCUCUUUUGUUGACAUUAGCUUUCCCCCCAAAAAAGACCAUAUAAUAUGAAACAAUCACAUAGAGAGAAAAUAACAGGGACUGCACCCCAUAGAGAAAACAACAUAGACUGCAGUCCACUGACAAAAUAGCUCAUUUAUGUUUUGUUGUUUGGAAAAGGAGGUUCAAACCCCCGGCCUCUGCAUCAAUCGAUGCAUACGGUAGCUCAUUUAUGUGAAUACAAUCAUGCGUAGAUACUCCAAAGAACAACAAGUCGAGUCACAAUGUCCCAUACAAAGUAGAUGAACAUAUACCAACAAGCAAAUACUAGUAAUUACAGAGUACUAGUACUCAUCACGCGUAUAUGGAAAAAUAGAAUGAAAUGGAAUACAGGGAAUACUACUACACCACUUAUUCUAGAAAUAGCACAGUGGGGCUUGGUACGGGGUCUCCUCCUCCAUCAACUCUCAUAUAUAAGUAUCCCAUCAGUCGUGAGCUGCCGGUGGUUUGCACUUCGGAGGUGGUUCAGGUUUAGGCUCGGGCUCCGGCUUUGGUUCGGGUUUCGGCAUCGGCUCGGGCUUAGGAUCUGGCUUUGGUUUGGAGCAGGGCUCAGGCUUUGGUUUUGGCAUUGGCUUGGGCUUGGGUUCUGGUUCGGGCUUCUCUCCAGGCUUUUCUUCAGGCUUUGGUUUCGGCAUCGGUUCAGGUUUGCAGGGCUCUGGCUCUGGUUGUGGUGUAGGUUUGGACAUUGGCUCUGGUUUGGGUUCUGGCUUUGGCUCUAUCUCUGCAAAAAUUUCGACAGCAGGAAGGCCUCGGUCAGCCGCGGCAGCUUGGUUGAGAGUGGAGGCUGCAACUACCCCAAUGAGGAUCAUGGCGAGGAGGCGAUGCCUCGCCAUUGCUGCCUACUUCUUGUGCUUGCAGCUAGUGUUGCACACCUGCUGUGCUUUGUGUGUGGUUGUGUGUGUUGUGUGGAGAACUGGAGAUACAUAUUGUGUGGUUUUAUAGGCUGGGUGAAACAAAGCAGAUCUGGAGGCUGCAUUAAUUAGCAUUGGUUGAUUAGUUGAGUACAAAUGAAGCAACAACCAACGUAGCUAGAGGUGUUAAUAAGAACAGUUGGAUUUUGCCUGAGUGUGUCUCUAAUGCGAUGAUAGUAGGGUGAGUAACAAUAUUUUUACUCUAUUGGUUGCCUCCCGGUAGUAAUAGAAUUCUGUUAGUUGCCUUGUUAAUCUUGUUCACACGUCCUUGUUAGUUGCAUCAUUUAGAAAAAUCAAGAUCGACAGUGUACACGUUAGAGUAAUGCACUACAAGUAAAAAAGCAAUCGCUUGAGUUCAAUUCACAAUGAAAAGUGAAGGUAGUCUUUGAAGAGGAACUGGCUUGAUCGUACGUGCACGUCGUGUGUGAGCUUCACCACCUGUUGGAAACCCUCAAGACUCCUUGGUCUGCUUCCUCGACCGAGUUUUCACGAACUCUGCUGUGUUUUCUCAAGUGGUUUUCAAGAAGGUGGCGUUGGAUUAAUCCAUGCACAAGUUUUGCCAGAUUAUGCUGAAUGAUAUAACAAAAGUGAAGGUGUACAUCAUUUGAUGUCGAUGACGGGGUUCCUCCUUUAACAAAUAAGUGUUUUCUCAAACACUCCCUCUGGCCGGUAUACUGGGCACAGUUCCAAAAUUGUAGAUAUCAAUGAGGAUUUUAUCACGCUUAUUGUCUUAAAUUAUUAAAUCUUAUUAACUCUCCGACAAACUAAGAGCAACUCUAACAGAUCGUGUAUUCUAUGAAACUGUAGAUGUGAUUUAUAGUUCGCACAGCAGGAUCUAUACAGGCUGAAAAUUACAGCGGUAGAAUAGAAACCGUAAAAGAAACUCAAAUUUGCUUGUUGGCUUGAUGACGUGAGUCUCGCCGCCUCCUUCUCCCCUAAUAAUAAAGCAACUAACGCUUCGGUCGUCCGUCGUCGCCGAUCGCAGGACGUUUUGCAGAAAGGCUCCUAAGGUUUUAGGUAUUCAACCCGCGGUCCCUUUUAAGUGGUAUCUGAGAAAACGUUUCAGUUUUGCAAAUUAACCACUGCAUCUCGUGAGAAUUCGAUCCGCACUCCUUUGUUCUAUCUUCUCUAGUGGUGGAGAAGGUGGAAGGGGAAUAACUUCAGCUCGGCUCGUCGGCGAGCGUGUUGCAGGAGGCCGACGAGGAGGCCAGUGGGCGUUGUGCGCUUACAGGGGAGCGGGUAGGCCGGAGGUGGAGGGGAUGGCCGGAGGCUGAGGGCAGUGGAGAGAGAGGCCGAGAGAGUCGGCCCGAGGGAGGGGGGACUGAGAGAAAGAGAGAGAGAGUGUGUGUGUGAGCCGGAGAGGGGCGGUCGCCGGAGCCGGACCUCCAGAACAACGACGCAACAAUCUGGAUGGCACAACGGCUUUGAUCCCGGAGAAUGGUGAUUGAUGGCUGCCAACAGACGGAUCCGGGCGAAGGAGGCUCUGAGAGGCGCAUGGAAGGCUGUCAAGGUUGGGGGCGCCGGAUCCAGAGUUCGCAUGGUGAGAGAUGGGGAGAGGGUAGAAUCUUGCUAGUAUAAGACGAGUUAGAGAAGCGGCAACGCCUGCAGAACAGAGCAUGAAGGCAGCUCCUUUUGAGGAGGCGACGACGGACGACAGAGCUCGUGACUGCGACCUUCUCGGCUCCUGCCGGCGUGGUCACUCAAUUCGCUCCACGGCGCGAUGGCCCAUUGCCGGCAAGGCAGCGUUCUGCAACGCACCAGCCUGCAAUGGAGGCGGUGUCCAUGGUGCAGCCGUGGCCUUCAGCGCACACCGCGGGGGAAGUGCUACCGGACACCGGCUUGGCCCCGAUGCUGCUCCUCCCAGACGGUGGUACCCAUGGCCUGGCCCACUAGCCCCCGACUGAGCUCCCAGCAGAGGCGCACAUCGAUGGAGGCUUCGAGCAGGCCGCUCUGCCAUGCUUGUGCAAUGGGGGUCUGCCCGCGUGCUGGGGUGGGGAUGCACGGAUGGACAGAUCCUGGCAGUGGCUGCCACGGUGGCCGGGCACUAAGUACCGGAGUGAUUCGUGGGUGCAGCACGGACAGCUGUUGUGAGGAGCACAGCCAGGCAUCAGCGCUGGUCUCCUCUUCUCUGUAGCUGCAGGAGGAAUGGUGAUGUUUUGGAUAAGGGUCACGUAGUGCGCAGUUAGGUGAAGAUUUAGUGCCUAUUGCUAUUUUUUGAUCAAUAGUUGUUGGUAGAUGUACACGGACUUAAGCUGCUGGAUACUUCGGUGCUCAUCCCGUUGGAUUUAUAUGCGAUUGUUCGUGACGUUCCAACAAAUUGUUAUUUGCUAGAUGUUCUUUUUCACAUUAGUUCAUUAUAAUUAUUUGAUUGUACCGCCUUAUAGAGCAUCUACAACCGGACUUAACAAAUCUGACCUCUCAAACGUUCAUGGAAACGUCCGGACGCAUCUGCGGACGUUGAUCAAUUAAGCCUCAAAUAACGAAUUCUACAACCGGAUACUUUAAAUUAGAAACCUCAAAUAUAUAUUAUUACAUGCAACAUAAAUCUAAUAUUAAGCGUGGCUCGUUUGGGUCCGCCCUGUCCAUGUCGAAAGGCUAGAUAUGCCCUUCAUAGUGUCCGUCCGAUCGUUAGCAAGGUAGAGUAGGACAUGGGACACUGGCCGGUUCAUGGAAGUCGAGUUUCCGUCGUCUUCCAUGCCCAAUUCUUCCUUAAAUUUAUCACUUAGUGUUACUACAGAACAAUCCAACCGUCAACUGCAAAGUUAGUAUACGGAACUACAUGAUCAGCUUCAAGGAGCAUGUCUACGUGCUCCAACACUAGCGCAUUCAUGAAUAUUUGUUUAUAAUUUGUACAAAAACUUAUUUGGACUUAUUUAAAAUUGUAAACAUUCUAAUGAUCCUAUUUUAUAAUGUUUGUAUAAGUAAAAUCAAAUUUCAUGGCUAAAAGAAAUACUCAGUGUAACCUUACUUCUAAAGCUUGCAAAAAUUAGAUUAAAAUAAUAUUGCAUAAUGACACAGGAAGAAAAUUAUAUUUAACAUUUCGGCCGGUGCAACGGCACGGGCAUUUGUAUUAGUAGAUGUCUAUGACAGCAAGGCACGAACUUGUCACUCCCCGUAGGCAUAUUACCAGUGCCACCCAUUCGUCGAAGCAUGUUAAAUGUUAGCGCACUAAUUUAUAAAAAAAUAAUUUGUGCAUUUACUUUUGUUGUCAGUUUUAGGAUUAAUAUAAUGUUGCUUAAAAAUAUUUGUCGGGUGCUGAAAAAAGGGGAAAAGGACGAUCAAUUUGCCAACUUCACACAAGGGCUCUCAAAAUCAUAGAGCCGACCCUGCCAGCACCAUGUGACUUGUGAGAGAUUAUUAUGGCUUCUCGUAUGUUGUGUAGCACUAUCAUUAAGAGCAAUUCUAGCAGACCCUGCAUCCGCCCCCGAUCUGCAAAAUAACCGCUAAAAUGCGGGUACGGACCGAAAAGCCUGUCCGACCAGACCCUGCAUCCCAUCCCGGCCCGUAAAUUUUUUUCAGGGGCGCGGCAAAUUCUCGACCCCAACCCGGGAAAACACGGGUUUCCCCCUCGCGGCUGCGGUGCCCUGCAUCACAGAGAAGCAGUUGGCGGGAGGGACAUUUCAGCCCGUGCUCUUUUCCCCCUCCUUCCGCCGCCGCCCACCCUUGCUUCCGCUCGCCCGCCGCCGGCGAUUCCGGCCAUAUCUGCAGGCGAGCCGCUGCAUCGCCCCUCCAGAUCCGGCGAGAAGAGUCGCCCCCCCCCACCGCCGGGGAUCGACCACCGUCAAGCGCACCCCCUCGUCGCCGCCCGGGAUCACCCGCCACCGGUUAGUCCCCUUUUUGCGAUUUUUGCGAGCUGUGCGAGAAGAUGGAGUUGACCCCGUGCGAGAAGUUUUUACUAUCCGAUUCGUCCGAUUCGGACGACUCGUAUGUUGAGACCAUGCUUGCGAUCUUUCGGCAGCAAACAUUAGUCAUGGCGCUUGCCGUGAAGGAGCAUGAAGACGAGCACUGGAAGAGGAGGCGAGGAUCGAUUGUCGGGCGCUUGUGCAUUCCUCGAAAUCGCCAUCUUGGGAACGAGAUGUUGAUGCAAGACUAUUUCGCGGAGAAUCCUACAUAUCCUCCGCACCUCUUCCGGAGAAGGUACCGAAUGCGCCGAUCCCUCUUUGUGAAACUUGUUCAAGCUUGCGAGGCAAAUUGCCGGUAUUUUACUCAAAGAAGGAAUGUCGCGGGCUGAAAGGCUUGGUUGUUGUUGUUGUUGUUGUUGUUGUAAGGAAUGCUGCGGGCUUAAAGGGAUUUAGUGCAUAUCAAAAAAUCUCCGCACCUAUGGGGGGUGAUUGCAUAUGGCGUUCCGGCUGACUAUGCCGAUGAGUAUCUUCGUAUUGGUGAAUAUAGCACAAUUGAGUCUGUGCGUAGAUUUGCGAAAGUGAUCAUCCGUGUCUUCGGUCCUGAGUAUCUUCGGGCACCCAAUGAAGGACACAAAGAAAUUGAUGGCAUCUGAUGAGAGGAGAGGUUGGCCUGGCAUGCUAGGUAGCAUUGAUUGUAUGCAUUGAAAUUGGAAAAAUUGCCCCAAGGCUUGGCAAAGAAUGUAUUGUGGCAAGUCUAGUGAUGCAACAAUUGUGCUAGAGGCCGUAGCAUCUGAAGAUUUAUGGAUUUGACAUUGCUUUUUUGGUAUGUCGGGAACUCUCAAUGAUAUCAUUGUGUUGCAACGGUCUCAUUUAUUUGCUAGGCUUGCUAGUGGUGAUGCUCCUGCUUGCAACUACAUUAUCAAUGGGCAUGAAUACACAAAGGGGUACUAUCUUGCAGAUGGUAUGUACCCUCCUUGGUGCACAUUUAUCAAGAGCAUCAAAGAACCCAAAACAAAAAAACAAUGUGAAUUUGCAAGGGUGCAAGAGGCAGCCCGCAAAGACAUUGAAAGAGUAUUCGGUGUUUUGCAAUCUAGGUUUGCCAUUGUCCGUGAUCCUGCUCGUUUUUGGGAUAAGAAAACCUUGAAGAACAUCUUGACAUGUUGUGUUAUCCUGCACAAUAUGAUUCUUGAAGAUGAGAGAGGAUUGGACUUAGAAUUAUUUUACGACAAUGUGGGUAGCCGUGUUUAACCAGCUAGAGACCCAAACCACAUUAGAGAUUUUCUUCAGACAUACAAGGAGAUUGAAAAUGCAGACACGUACUUUCAACUUCAGGAAGAUCUCAUUGAGCACCAUUGGCAAAGGGCUGGACAGUGACUUAUUUUUGUAUUCAUUUGUAUUUGCAUUCAUGACAAGUUUUGUAUUGCACUAUUUAAGUUUGCUACGGUUAUUUGAAUAAUUAUUUAUAAUGCGGAUGAUUAUUGUAUUAUGUUUGAUUCGAAUAAUUUAGUUUGUUUUCGAUUGUUGAAUUAUGUUGUAUUUGAUACUUGCGGGUUGAUGAUAUGCGGGAUGUAGCGGCGCAAAGAGCAGACCCCGCAAAGCCGACCCGUUAAAAAGUAUAUUCCACGAAUGUAUUUUUUUACGGAUCCGUUUGGGGGGUCUGCAUAUGUGUCAGCCUGCAAAAGCUGUUUUGCGCGAACUGCAAACGCGUGUUGUGGACCGGCGGGAUGUGGGGUCUGCUAGAGUUGCUCUAAGAGAUUUUUCUUCGUGCGAACUGAGUAAGAGAAAAUCUUUUAAAAUAACUUUCAUGGUGCCUUUUCUUCGUAAUCUUGACCUAUGGGGUGUAGUUACACGUAAUCUUUGUAAUCUUGUUGGCAGCGCAGGUGGUGGCGGCAACGCAGGACGGCCGGCGGGCGAACGGGACAGAGCAGCAUCGAGUGGCCACCCCUAGGAUUGAUUUGGGGACGUUGUUGGAUGGUCUCACAUGUCAGAUCCAGACCCACAUCCAUGCGGUUCCACAUGUAAGAUCCGGACCCACUAUCACUAACGCCGGCGGACGGAAUGGACUCAAAACUGCCCGUUUGGCCUCGUCAUAGUAGUUGCGCACGGGCUAGAGGCAAAACUGAGCACGAUUUGCAACUGAGGGCAAAAGUGAGCAUAUGGACACCACUGAGAACAAAAAGAUAAUUAUCCCUAUUAAAUAGUGGUGCUUUUUCUACGAAUAUAAUCAAUUCCAUAAUGCUAUCCGCUUUGACCAUCCUAUUACCCUAAAUGGAAAGCAAAGUAGGUUAUUCAGCACACCAUAACUUCGUUCCUUGGUUGACUGCCUGGCCUUCAAGAAACUAGAAAAAAUGUAAUAACUCACUUCACUAUGAGCGGCUCCCUCCCCACCAAUUGGGUAGAUGGAAGCUAUAUACGUAUAGAAAAAAGUAAACCACAAUGAGAAACAUACUUGCCCCAUUAGCAUCCAUAUGACGGAGCAACCAGCCCCCUUCAACAUCUUUCAUAAUGUGUUCUACGCUGUUGAAAGCUAGAUCCACAUGAGGUGUGUGAUGCAUAAUACACCUCAAUGUGUGCUGCUAUUUAGGGAGUCCUUCUCGGGAGGGGCGUUUUGGCUCCCGGGUACAAAUGCUCCUGGGUGAACAGUAACGCAAAAAUUAUUAGAAAACAAUUUAAAAAAAUCUGAAUUUAUUUGUGGGUGUUCGUGUUAGUGUCACAAACAUGCCUGCCAAAUUUCAUGCAAAACGAAGCAGUGCUGCUUCGUCGGUGAAAAAAACAAAUUUGGAUGACAUUUUGAGAUAACAUUUGGUGUUUUAGUUUGUUUUUUCUUUUACACGGGCAAAAAAAAUUAAGCUUUUUGCCUAAAAAAUUUCAGGUAGCAUUUGGAUGUGAGAAAGAACACAUAAAAAUUGUGUUAUGAUUAUUUGACAUUUCAAAAAUUAUUUUCCAUAGGCAGGUGCACGUGCACCCAGGAGCCGAAUUGCAUUUCCGGUCCUUCUCUUCUUUUUAGUUGGCAUCAUCUUUGCCCCAAAAAAGACCACAUAAAAUGAAACAAUCCCUUUUAGAAAAUAACUGAGGCUGCACCACAUAGAGAAAACAACAUAGACCGCAGUCCACUUAUAAAAUAGCUCAUCCAUGUAAAUGAAUACAAUCAUGCGCAGAUACUCAAGAGAACAACAAUUCGACUCACAUACAAAGUAGAGGAACAUAUAUCAACAAGCAAAUAAUAAUUACAGAGUACUAAUACUCAUCACACGUGCAUGGAACAAUAGAGAGAAAUGGAAUACAAGGAAUAUUACACCACUUAUUCUAGAAAUAGCAAAGUGUGGCGUAUGGGGUCUCCUCCAUCAACUGUCAUAUAUAGGUAUCCCAUCAAUUGUGUGCUGUCGGUGGUUUGCACUUCGGAGGCGGCAUCGGUUUCGGUUCAGGUUUAGGCUUGGGCUCCGGCUUUGGUUCGGGUUUCGGCAUCGACUUGGGCUUAGGCUCUGGCUUUGGUUUGGAGCAGGGGACGGGCUUGGGUUUUGGCAUCGGCUUGGGCUUGGGUUUUGGUCCAGGCUUCUCCCCUGGCUUUUGUUCAGGCUUUGGUUUGGGUUUGGGCAUCGGUUCAGGUUUGCAUGGCUCUGGCUCUGGGUGUGGCAUAUAUUUGGGCAUUUGCUCUUGUUUGGGUUCUGGCUUUGGCUUUACCUCUGCAAACUUCUCGACGGCAGCAAGGUCUCGCCCAGCCGCAGCUCCUUGGUUGAAGGCGGAGGCUGCAACUACCCCGACGAGGAGCACGGCGAGAAGGCAUUGCCUCGCCAUUGCUGCCUAUUUCUUGUGCUUGCAGCUAGUGUUGCACCUGCUGUGUUCUGUGUGUGCGCGCGCGUGUGUUGUGUGCAUAACUGGUUGUACAUAUUGCGUGAUUUUAUAGGAUGGGUGAAACAAAGCAGAUCUGGAGGCUGCAUUAAU